rnacentral:rRNA from 1 species
ACCGCAUGGUUCAAAAGUGAAAGACGGUCUUGCUGUCACUUAUAGAUGGAUCCGCGCUGCAUUAGCUAGUUGGUAAGGUAACGGCUUACCAAGGCAACGAUGCAUAGCCGACCUGAGAGGGUGAUCGGCCACACUGGAACUGAGACACGGUCCAGACUCCUACGGGAGGCAGCAGUAGGGAAUCUUCCGCAAUGGGCGAAAGCCUGACGGAGCAACGCCGCGUGAGUGAUGAAGGUCUUCGGAUCGUAAAACUCUGUUAUUAGGGAAGAACAUAUGUGUAAGUAACUGUGCACAUCUUGACGGUACCUAAUCAGAAAGCCACGGCUAACUACGUGCCAGCAGCCGCGGUAAUACGUAGGUGGCAAGCGUUAUCCGGAAUUAUUGGGCGUAAAGCGCGCGUAGGCGGUUUUUUAAGUCUGAUGUGAAAGCCCACGGCUCAACCGUGGAGGGUCAUUGGAAACUGGAAAACUUGAGUGCAGAAGAGGAAAGUGGAAUUCCAUGUGUAGCGGUGAAAUGCGCAGAGAUAUGGAGGAACACCAGUGGCGAAGGCGACUUUCUGGUCUGUAACUGACGCUGAUGUGCGAAAGCGUGGGGAUCAAACAGGAUUAGAUACCCUGGUAGUCCACGCCGUAAACGAUGAGUGCUAAGUGUUAGGGGGUUUCCGCCCCUUAGUGCUGCAGCUAACGCAUUAAGCACUCCGCCUGGGGAGUACGACCGCAAGGUUGAAACUCAAAGGAAUUGACGGGGACCCGCACAAGCGGUGGAGCAUGUGGUUUAAUUCGAAGCAACGCGAAGAACCUUACCAAAUCUUGACAUCCUUUGACAACUCUAGAGAUAGAGCCUUCCCCUUCGGGGGGCAAAGUGACAGGUGGUGCAUGGUUGUCGUCAGCUCGUGUCGUGAGAUGUUGGGUUAAGUCCCGCAACGAGCGCAACCCUUAAGCUUAGUUGCCAUCAUUAAGUUGGGCACUCUAAGUUGACUGCCGGUGACAAACCGGAGGAAGGUGGGGAUGACGUCAAAUCAUCAUGCCCCUUAUGAUUUGGGCUACACACGUGCUACAAUGGACAAUACAAAGGGCAGCGAAACCGCGAGGUCAAGCAAAUCCCAUAAAGUUGUUCUCAGUUCGGAUUGUAGUCUGCAACUCGACUACAUGAAGCUGGAAUCGCUAGUAAUCGUAGAUCAGCAUGCUACGGUGAAUACGUUCCCGGGUCUUGUACACACCGCCCGUCACACCACGAGAGUUUGUAACACCCGAAGCCGGUGGAGUAACCUUUUAGGAGCUAGCCGUCGAAGGUGGGACAAAUGAUUGGGGUGAAGUCGUAACAAGGUAGCCGUAUCGGAAGGUGCGGCUGGAUCACCUCCUUU